GGUUACUUUUUUUUUUAACAUAAAUAAGUUUUCUACAAUCUCUAUAUUUCUUUCAAAUUUUGAGAAACUAAUGACUUUAUAAUUUGUAGAUUGCUUUUACAUUAGACAAGAAAAGUAGAAGGAAUUGUAUGCUUACAUUGGGAAAAUGUUUUCGAUCUUUUAAGAACACGUUGACUGUGAAACAUAUUCUUCCUUUCAAAGAUCAGCCAGAGCUUCUUAAGAAACCACCAGCUGAAUAUCAUUUUAUCGAUGAUGAAGAUUGGAAUAUUUUUGUGAAAACUAGGUUGUCUGAAAAAUUCCAGGAAUAUAGGGAAGUACAAAAACAGAGAAGAAAGAAGCAUAUAUAUAAUCAUCAUCUAAGUAGAAAAGGGUAUGCUGGACUUGAAGAAGAGAUGAUGAUUGAAGCUGGCUCCAUAGAAAGCAUUGAUAGAAGUUUACUUUGGAAGAGGGCAAUGCAAAAAAAAGAUGGCAACUAUGAUGAUGUGGU